rnacentral:rRNA from 1 species
UACGAAGGGGGCUAGCGUUGUUCGGAAUCACUGGGCGUAAAGCGCACGUAGGCGGCGCAGCAAGUCAGGGGUGAAAUCCCGGAGCUCAACUCCGGAACUGCCUUUUGAAACUGCAGUGCUAGAAUCCUGGAGAGGCGAGUGGAAUUCCGAGUGUAGAGGUGAAAUUCGUAGAUAUUCGGAAGAACACCAGUGGCGAAGGCGACUCGCUGGACAGGUAUUGACGCUGAGGUGGCGAAAGCGUGGGGAGCAAACAGG